UACGUAGGGGGCAAGCGUUGUCCGGAUUCAUUGGGCGUAAAGAGCGUGUAGGCGGCCUGAAAGGUCAGCUGUGAAGACUCGAGGCUCAACCUCGAGACGUCGGUUGAAACCAUCUGGCUAGAGUCCGGAAGAGGAGUGUGGAAUUCCCGGUGUAGCGGUGAAAUGCGCAGAUAUCGGGAAGAACACCCGUGGCGAAGGCGGCACUCUGGGACGGUACUGACGCUGAGACGCGAAAGCGUGGGGAGCGAACGGG
rnacentral:rRNA from 1 species